CCCUUAAGAACAGUAUAGGUUUCCAGGUGACAUAUGACCGCCAUCUACCGUUCUCUUCUCACCUUUGCAAAACGUCUCAUCUACCCUACCACACCGCUUCACCCUUCCAGUUCUCAUCCACCCUGCCAUACCACCUGAUGCUUCGAACACUCUUCCACCAGAUAACCCCGUUCACGCCGGCGACACAAGCAACUAUUACCGUCGAUUCUUAGGAACAGUUUCCUCAUCUCAACUGCUGCUUUCUGAUCCAACCUCCACUAUGUGUUCGCCUCUUCUUCCUGGCCGGCCGGUGUUAAAGCUUCUGUGGCAAUAAAAAAGGAUUCAGGUACCUCACGCUAGGGUUUAGUGUUGUUGCUUUUACCCACCCGCCACAAUCGACCUCUUAGGUUUGCCUCUGUAAAUCGCAGGUGGAGAUGGUGUUGGGUUAGGUUAGGGUUUCGCAGGAGGCGAGCGAUGGUGAUUGUGGAAUGUCUGUCUGCAUCUUCCACCUCCACCGUCAACAUCCGCCUCCACACUCACACCUUUGAUAAGGUACUGGAUGUUAGAUUGGAGGUUUGUAUCGCUUCGUCACUGACGGUAAUCAAGCGCCUAAGGUUCCGAUCAAGUUCUGACAACUUUCCGGAGCAAGUUAUUUAUGAUCUUAAAGGGGAUGUGAUUAUGUGUGACCCUGAAGACGAGAUGAAUGUUUUCAAUGGUGAAAAGAUGUCAAAAAGUCAACAACUUUACUUGAUGUGAGAGCUUCUUCCAGUGAUGACAAAGACAACCAAGAAAAGAUCAUCGACAUGGAUACCAAAGCUAAAAACACAGGUAAAGCUCGCGUUCAAUAGCGUGCGAAUGAAGAUCUCGGAUCAGAAGAAUAAAACUUUCUUUUGUCAUACCAUCCCCGGUUAGAGCCCUCUUUAAAAAGAGUGGUAACUAAAUUGUGCUCAUCUUAUUUUGAUAGUUUUGUCGGCAACAAACUCGAAUACAUGUUUGUUAUUAUGUUUUGUCGGCAACAAACCCAUCCCGGGUUGGUUCCCCGCCGCAACGCGCGGGUGGGAACAACCUAGUUACAUACAAGUGAUGUAUGUAGGUUUUAAAAGAAAUGUAUGUAUACUUGCAGACAAAUAGUGAAGUUUCGAAAGGAGUUUUUGAACCAUUUUACAUGUCACUUGGACAUGUUCAGAGGGAA